UGUGUUUUCAUCCAACAUGUCGUCUUGUCUUACAAGUCUCAAAGGAUUGAUUGCAAACCAACAAUAGUUAAUCUUUUACAUUAUAUGUACAUCAUCUUCAUAUAGGAAAACACUAUACAGGGUGUCCCAAAAAUAAAAACAUGCCAAACUAUUGAAAUAACAUAUUGUUAGAAUUGGAAUGCUUAGCACUCAAGAGGUACAAGAUGCGUGGAAUAUUGACAGGGUGCAUAUAUUAUAAAUAUUGACUUAACAAAUUAAAAUAUCUUUGUAAAGCGCACGAUUUUGAAUCG